GCCUUUGUUCUCACAGAAGUUUAUCAAGGUGAGAGUCUGCUGAGCCCAGCGCUGUGGUUCUGAGAAGCGAGAGUCAGCUGCCUUCUCCGACGGGGCCUCCACAGCUUCAGAGUUCGUGCAGUUGUCUGUCUGCAAGAACUGCUGGAGGGGAAGAAUCCUGGGUUGGAGGGCGCAGCACUCUUGCUGAGACCCUGGCCCUCAGUAAAGCGGCUUCUUGAUCUCUAAAGGAGCUGUUUCUGCCAAAGGAGGGUGUCACUUGGGAAAACCACACUGUGUGACCUGACUCCCAACCACAGACGCUUCUACAUAGAAGUAUUCAGAUAAUGGGUGGCAUUGAAGGAGAAAGCCAUGGAGAGCCACAUGCAGCCUCCGGGCUGGAGGUAUGAAAAGGGACAGAAUGUUUUCUAACUAUGGGAGAGGGGUGUAUUAGAAGUUGAUUCUAUGCUUACGAACCUUUCUGUUAGUAAGACUCUCCUUGAAAACCAGUAGGCUUAAGUCCUUGUUCUAACCUUUUGGAAUGUAAAUGGAUCUUUCCAGGGGCGAGAUAAGCCCAGUCUCCAGUUUUACAGAGAUGUCUUCAAGGUCAUGGGUCCCAUAACCCAAAUGCAAAAUGUACCACUGGAGCUAACCUGAGAGCCUGUCCCAAGAUGUAAUUGUUUGUUUCUUAAGGAUGUGGGAGAUGUAUUAUUAUUUCUUCUGCUUUGCUGCAUACAUUGUGUAAGAUUUCAUCCUGACCUUGUAGCCUCUUGCCAGCUACCAUAUGUGUGUGCUGUGUUGUGUGAAUUCAUAAAUCAGUGUUGUUGUUGUUGUUGUUGUUGUUGUUGUUGUUCCACAGUGAUGUAGAGGUUUCUGUUGUUUGGCUAGACUUUGAAUUCCCUAAUAGUAGGAAUGGUAGGUUGGACUUCCAUUGUACUAUUCUAAGCAGUAAUGUGAAGUUCUAAAAAUUAUGAAGACAGGGUAAAUUCUACCUUUGCUAUAGCCAAUGGAAGCUAUCUGGGGGGAAUUGGGGAGGAAGGAAGAAGGAGCUUAUGAGCCUGGAGCACACUGAGCAAGAGCAUUGAGUCAUGGUGGGGAGUUGGGGAUAUGAAGACCCUCCCAAUGUAAUUGCCCACUGAUUUCUUCCUGCCCACUGCACACACAGAAUCAAUUCAUUGAGACUGCAGUAUUGCAGUAAAAAAAAGUGUUUAAUUGAUGUGAGGCUGGUCACAUGGGAGACUGGAGUUACCACUCAAAUCAGUCUCCCCAAAGGCUCAGAGGUUACAGAUUUUCGAGGAUAGUUUGGUGGUCAAGGGACUAGGGAAUGGGUAUUGCUGAUUGGUUGAGGAUACAAUGAUAGGGAUGUGGAAAAUGGUCCUCCUGUGCUAAAUCCAUCUCUGGGUAGGGGGCCAUUCGACUGGUUGAGUGAGGCAUUAUGAUUCUGGGUGAGGUCAGUCUGAAAAACAUCUCAAAAGACCAAUCUUAAGUUCUACAAAAGUGAUGUUAUCUACAGGGGCAAUUGGGGAAGUCACAAAUCUUGUGACUGCUGGUCACAUGACUCCUAAGCAGUAAGAGAUUAUAGAAAUUAUACCUACAUUUUAGCAGAAUUCAGCCCCUUACAUAAUUCUAAUCUUGUGGCCUUUCAUUAGUCUUACAAAGACAGUUUCAGCCCCUGAAUAAGGUGGAGAUCAGUUUUAGGGAGGGACUAUUAUUAUUCUUGCUUCAAACCUAAUUUAUAAACUAAAUUCCUCCCAUGGUUAGCUUGGCCUAUGCUCAUUCCUGGGCAUUUUUAUGUUUAACAAAUUUGGAAAAGUUACUGGAGAUUCACAGGAAUUUGAUUCUCCUCCAGGGAUGAUCUGCUUUGUAAAAUGCAGAGGGAAUGGGACAGUGGGAGAGGGUGGGGCUCUCAGACCACUCCCUUGCCGUUCACUUCUGGCCUCUUCAAAUGCUCAUCAAGCAAAAUUUCUGGUUGAACCAUAUGGCUUUGAUUGAAAAAAAGGAGGUUGGUAUGUGGGAAAAGAGCAAAAUUUUUUUACAAUGGCAUUGUUACAAUCUUGAUCAAAUAUACCACGUAACCUUCCCUUCCAAGGGUAAUUGGUCAAACUCUUCUGUGUUUGACCGCCACUUCACUCCCCUACCACACAUGCUAGCUGUUGUGUUUCUCCAUUUGGCGUGACACAGGACAACUGGUCAGCUUUCUGUAUAAAGGAAAGACAAUAUUUUCUUUUUAGCUAACAUUUCCCUUUAAAGAACAGAAAGAAAAAAACAACUGGGGUCCCAUGUUCCCAUGGCUUCUAUCCACUUUCCAUUAGGCGCCCCAUGCACCUGCUAACCAGAACUCAAGCAGCACUUCUGGAUCACCAUCGUGUUCCAGCUGCCCCCCACCUGGAUAGUUCUGUCUUGAAUUUCUUCCUGUUCCUUGACUAUCUUUGACAUAGUGACCAUUUUACCUCUUUCUGGCCAGAAGUGGCUGUUCCUCAGUGGGGAUGAAUCACUUUGUACCCAUAACAAUGCUGGCAAUCCCCAAACAGCAGACACUUUCCACUUGUUCAAAGUCCCUGAACAGCCUUUGAAGGAAACUUAACAAACAGUUACCCCUGGGUUAACACCUGGUGUGAGGCUGCAUAGCUUGAAAUAUAACUUUACAAACCACUUCAAAGUUGCUGUAGAUACAGGAUUGGAACAGAAAGACCAUUUCCCUCUAACCACUACAGCAUAUUUCCUUCUAGUCAAGCAGUAAGCCCCAACGUAACAGCAGAAUUCCAGAGUCUUCCUGAUUUAGCACACUGCCAUUUUGUCAUGGCUCAUUUUGAUCCCUCUCAUUAGUCAGCCCAGUGUUACCAUAUCUAAUAAAUCAGGUAUAGACUGGUUGCCUCCCAAAAGAAAGAAUUUGCCUUCAUUUUCUGUACCACACACAAGCAAGCAGUAAUUUAUACGCUGCCUGGAAACCAGUAGCACAAACACUGAUAAGUAAAUGUUCAGCUGAAGCCAAGCUCCCCCUACUACUUGUGAAAGGAACUUGGAUGCCCACUCUCAAGUGUCAAUCAUCUUGAAUCACGCUGCUGUUGAAUUUAGCUUUUUUUUUUUUUUUCCAGAGUAGCAUCUCCCAUUAAGCCAAAUGAUGCCUUUGGGCACAUUUUUCCUUUAAAAUGUUUUACUGUAUUUGAAUGGAAAAUAACUGAAAUAUGAAAAAAAUGUAAGUCUAUUUGGGUGGUUGGUUAUAUAGCCAGGGUUAAGUGUUUAUAUUUUAAGUUACUAUUUUUAAUCAAAAGUUUCCCAAUAAUUACAGCCUAAAGGAAACCACAGUAAAAAUAUUAACCAGAAUUUUACUCAAUGUAAUGGAUAAUUACCAAAGAAUAAAUAAAUCAUAUUUAGGAAUAGGAAAGAAAGAAGAAUGACCUUGUUAAAAGUUGUCAGCUUCACAGAGGUGAACCUCGUCUCCCAGCUCUCCUCCUCCACCCUCCUCGACUCUCCUUCCCACCUCAGCCAGGAGUUCAGUGACCUUCUGCACUUCCCCUCUGUUUCUAUUGAAACUUGCCCAUGGGAAAGAUCCAAAACUCUUUCCAUUAUGACAUAAAUGAUUGAUAACUUACAUGUUCCAUGUUUUCAGAUUAUUCAUUUAUUUUAACAGACUGGAGAAUGCUUACAACUAAAGAAAGAAGCCCUAACAGAUGUCUCAGCAGUCAGACAAUGGGUAAGGGAUAGUUUUUGUCAGUAAGGGUGGUGGUACCGGGGCAUUGUCUUCCAAACCUAAGUGAGAUUGUAAUAGAAGUUUUGAAGCUAUUAAUGAAAUAUGUCAAUAAACAUGAGAUAAAAUUACAUGGUUUCACAGGUAUAUUGUUCUUAAAAAAAAUAUUGUGUUCUAGGAAUUUCAGUGGCUUCACUAAAUGGAGUCAGACUGACAUGUAAGAUUUGGGCAUUUGGGAAAAGGAGCAAGAAUGAACAUUGAGGAGACACACACACAUGAACACUUUAAAAGAGUGUACUAUAGUCUUACAGUAAGUGGGUAGGAGAGGAAUGGGGAAGAGAAAGCAUCUGAGGUUCUUGGAAGACCUUGAAGGACCUGGGAACUAUAGGACUAUCAGACCCAAGGCCAUUGCUCUGGGGUGCUCCAGACAUCUGGGGAGGAAGAAACCUGGAGAAAGGCUGUAAUAUUAGGUAAUUGGCAGGACAUAGUGACCUUUUGUGAAGAUAAUUCCAAAAGCUAUUAUUCUCAUGUUAGAGACCAAAUAUCUCAAGGUUCUGAAGAAUCAGCCCCUGCCUUCCUCUCAUCUCUCUCUACCACCUCCCAUCCCCACACUAGCACUUUGCACUCCAGCCAAAGGUCUUUGUACUCGAAUCACCCAAUUUGAGACACUCUUACAUUUCCCUAACCUUCUCUAGUUAACUCCUGCUAAUCCUUCGGGUUUCAGUAUGACAGUUACAUGCUGGGAGAAGCCACUCUGUCUCCUUGGACAAAAAAGACUUCGUUGCUCUCACAGAUCCUGUACUUUGCCUUAAAAACUACUGGUUUAUUUGGGAGGCCAAGGCAGGCGGAUCACAAGGUCAGGAGAUUGAGACCAUUCUGACUAACAUGGUGAAACCCUGUCUCUACUAAAAAUACAAAAAAUUAGCCAGGUGUGGUGGCAUGGGCCUGUAGUCUCAGCUACUCAUGAGGCUGAGGCAGGAGAAUCGCUUGAACCCGGGAGGCGGAGGUUGAAGUGAGCCGAGAUCAUGACACUGCACUUCCAGCCUGAGCAACAGAGUGAGACUCUGUCUCAAAACAAACAAACAAAACCUACUGGUUCUGCUUUGUAAUUAUGUGUUGAUAUGACAGUUGAUAUAUGUCUGUCUCCCUCACUGCUCUGCACACACUGCAAAGAUGGGACCAUAUCUUGUUGGUUUACCUUUGUGUUCCCAGUGUGAAGCACAACGUGUGACAUAUAAUAUGUGCUCAGUAAAUGUUAAUUAAUUAUUUGAAUGAAUGAAUGGUACUUCUCAUCAAGGCAGCUCAGGAGAAUCAACAAGCUGUUUAGCCUUGAGCAAGUGGCUUAAUCUCUCUAAACUUCAGUUUCCCUAUCUCUAACACAGCAUUAGUGAUAGCACCUAUUUCCAAGGUUGUUUUGAAAAUUAAAUGAAAUAAUGCAUGUAAAUCACUGAGUACAAAUCUAGUAUGUAAAACACAAUAAAUGUUUAUUAUUAUUACUGUUACUACCUGUAUCUUUGCACCAGCUUUCUCAUCUAUAAACUGAUUGUUUUAAAGUUUCCUUCAGCUUUAAACAGGCUAUGACUCCUACCUAAUCCUAAAAGAAAAGUCCUUUGUUCUCUGGAUUUGUCAAUCUGGCAACUCUAACCAUCAAUAUAUUAACAUUUUUUUUCCAGUUGAAAAAAUUCUGCAGGAACGAGCAAUGAUUCAUCAACUUGUAAUAACAUGCAUGAAUUUAAGACAUGGCCAUAAUUAUUUUAUGAACUUGCAUUUGAUGUACCAGUCUUCACCGUUCUCAUAAGAUUCCGGGAAGUGGAAAGAGGGUGAUUUGGAAUGAUAAAGCUCCUUUUCAUCUACAUACCUAAAGAGGGGUACUUUUCUUUUCCUUUUGAUGAUCUUACAAUAGGGUAUCCUUGAAAAAGAAAAGAAAAAGUAAGAUAUUUGCAUUAUACAGCCAAAAUAUUCAAGAGACCUGUGUUCCUCUUGGCAUUUUCUAACUCUAUUCUGUACCUUUCUGGAUUUCAACCCACAUGAAAGAAGCAAUAUUUAUUACCUAGUAACUGGAUAAACUAUGUGUGAUAUUUAACUUCAAGUGCAAAAUAUUAUCUUCUAUGAUCUUACAGUGUACUGGAGAGCUUUAUGUCCAUUUUGUGCCAGAGAAAGCUGAGGCUUCAUGGAAGAAGAUAAUGACCUGAAGCCCAUGUAGCUGUCCAGAGCUGAAAUCAAUGCCAAGCAAGCUCAAAGGUUUGGGCCUCAUGAUUAGACACCUCACUUCGCUUUGC
ensembl:lncRNA